GGGGAUUCCCAUAGUAACUGCGAGUGAAAGGGGAACAGCCCAGCGCCGAAUCCUGCUGCUGGCAACGGUGGCAGGAACUGUGGCGUGAAGAAAGCUAAUACUGGUGUGGCUUGUCUACGUAAGUUCUCCUGAGUGAGACUCCAUCCCAUGGAGGGUGCAAGGCCCGUAUCGUAGGCAGCUGAUGCCAGUGUAAACUUUCGGAGAGUCGCCUUGUUUGCGAGUACAAGGUGAAGUCGGUGGUAAACUCCAUCGAAGGCUAAAUAUGACCACGAGUCCGAUAGCGAACAAGUACCGUGAGGGAAAAUUGAAAAGCACUUUGAAGAGAGAGCGAAACAGUGCGUGAAACCGCUCAGAGGCAAGCAGAUGGGGCCUCGAAGGCAAAGCAGCGAAUUCAGCUGGUGGUCUGUGUGGCCGGUCGGUAUUUGAGAUCGCAAGACUCUGGCCGACUGUUUGUCUGCACGGCUGCUAGUGCAUUUUCGUUGUUUGUACGCCACCGCCGUUGAGCGAGCGUCCGCCGGGUGUGCGAGUGAAGCCUUGCUCCUUCACGGGAGCAGGUGCUUACUGCGUGUCUGUGCGCGUUCGCGCCUCAACCGGUCAUGUCAGCGUGUGUCAGCGUAAGCGUUGGGUCAGUGUGCUCCGAUCGAGUGUCGUGGAAUCGGAGCUUGCUCCGCUCCUCGGCGUUUAGUGGACUCGCUGCUGUGCCUUCAACGUGGACACAUUGUGGAUCGGUGGCGA
rnacentral:rRNA from 1 species